UGAACCUCUCCGGUUCACUCUCUCAGAACUGCGAACCACAACAUCCUCCUCCGUUCGAGGCAUCUCCUCCCUUCUCCUCCGUUAGACAACUUCUCCCCGUCCAGGCUCCUCCCUCAUUCCUUCUCCUCCGCUCCUUCUCCUGGGUCUGAAAAGAAAAGAGCUGCAGAUUACGGUGGCUCAGUUAUCUCCUCCCCGAUGUCCGUCGUGCCAACAUCACCUUUGAAGAACAGGUUCUGGUUCUUGAGCUUCACCCUCGCUGGGGUAACAGGAUGAUUUGGAGUCAGAAAAAAAAAAUCCCUAAUUUUCUCUGCUUCUUGAGAUCAACGUGGCUUCCUCGAGGAUUUUCACUGUGAUUUCUUGCUUCAAACCGCAAUGCAUUGAUGGAUACUCUAUAUAAAAGGAGCAAUUUUGGAUGAUGAGAAAAGAGGAGUUACCACAAUGCUUGAGGUCGCCAACCCCAAGAUUGGAGCUGCUUCAACUUGACAAGGGUUGUAUUGGACAUAAGCUAUUCUUAAAGUAGCUGUAGCACCUUAGAAUUUUAGAGGUGAUCUGAUCGGAGGCCGUUUGCAGAUAACGAUUCUCAAUUUCUUGAGUACACCAGUAAAGGUUCUUUAUCUUCAUUUCUCAUUGACAUUUGUUUUUCCUUGAUAACGUAGUUGACAGUUCUUUUAGCCUGUUAUUAUAUAAUUACUGUUAACAAUGACUUUUAGAGAGAGAGAGAGAGAGAGAGAGGGAGGGAUGGAUAUACCAAAUGAUGCAUGUUCAAGGAGUACUCCAACAACAUUAUUGGAAUUUUAUAACAAUACUUGCCAUAAUUUUGGUAAGGAAUCAGUUGACAGUGUGGGGUUCGUAGAUUUGGAUUUGGCAUUCUCUGAUAUUAACCAAGGAGUGGAAAUUUUGAUUGGUUUGAUUGGUAAUUUGGGUAUGUUGUUUGCAUUCAACAUUCUAUAAUUAUGAGAGAAACCGAGAUCAUCGUAUUAUAUAUUUUAUCAGCAUUCAACAUUUAUAAUUGUGAACUAUCUUUGUGGGUUUAUCAAUUUAUUUUUAUGGUUUUCAA